rnacentral:rRNA from 1 species
GACGAACGCUGGCGGCGUGCUUAACACAUGCAAGUCGAACGGAAAGUCCCUGCUUUUGUGGGGUGCUCGAGUUGCGAACUGGUGAGUAACACGUGAGUAACCUGCCCCUGACUUUGGGAUAACUUCAUGAAACUGGGGCUAAUACCGGAUAGGAUCUCCUGCUGCAUGGUGGGGGUGGGAAAGUUUCGGCGGUUGGGGAGGGACUCGCGUCUUAUUGGCUUGUUGGUUGGGUAGUGGCUUACCAAGGCUUUGACGGGUAGCCGGCCUGAGCGGGUGACCGGCUACAUUGGGCCUGGACUACGGCCCGGCCUACUCCGGGAGGCAGCAGUGGGGAAUAUUGCACAAUGCGAGGAAGCCUGAUGCAGUAACGCAGCGUGCGGGAUGACGGCCUUCGGGUUGUAAACCGCUUUCGCCUGUGACGAAGCGUGAGUGACGGUAAUGGGUAAAGAAGCACCGGCUAACUACGUG